CAUAAAACAGGGAGGCCAACAUCCUCCAAUAGCACGGGAUCAGAUUUAUAACACGCGCUACCACGGGAGAGAUCUUCCCCUCUAUGUACCAGACCAAAAACACCCAUGCCCCCUGAGCAUAUGACUAGCUUUAUUCUGGGGCCAUGGAACCUUCAUCCCGGCCUCUCUACUUUAUGUGCCCAUGGUAAUAGGAUUACGACCUACUAAACUGUAUUCCCUUUCGGGAAGACAUGUGGCAGCACGAAAGGGUAAGGUGACACACUGACAAGACACGAUCUACAGUCGACUUAGGAGGUUUAAGUUUUCCUGCAAAGAUUAGCACCACAUGAUUUGCUGAAUGGUCUAGCAUAGUGUUACCACCAUCACACCUUGAUAUGGCCUCACCGAUCACUCUCGUACCAAUGAGGUGUCAGUCCCAUGGUCACAUAUUUUCCACAACCAACCUUCCUCCGAGAUUGUCCGGACCAGCAUGGAUACGAGGCAUGAGGUAGUAC
rnacentral:lncRNA from 1 species